rnacentral:snRNA from 1 species
GUGUUCAUUGUAGCAGCACAUAAACUAAAAUCGGAAUGAUUCAGAGAAGGUUAGCAUUGUCCCUGAGCAAGGAUGACACACAAUUCCAUAUUUAG